UUUAUGGAGAGUUUGAUCCUGGCUCAGGAUGAACGCUGGCGGCGUGCCUAAUACAUGCAAGUCGAGCGAACGGACGAGAAGCUUGCUUCUCUGAUGUUAGCGGCGGACGGGUGAGUAACACGUGGAUAACCUACCUAUAAGACUGGGAUAACUUCGGGAAACCGGAGCUAAUACCGGAUAAUAUUUUAAACCGCAUGGUUCAAAAGUGAAAGACGGUCUUGCUGUCACUUAUAGAUGGAUCCGCGCUGCAUUAGCUAGUUGGUAAGGUAACGGCUUACCAAGGCAACGAUGCAUAGCCGACCUGAGAGGGUGAUCGGCCACACUGGAACUGAGACACGGUCCAGACUCCUACGGGAGGCAGCAGUAGGGAAUCUUCCGCAAUGGGCGAAAGCCUGACGGAGCAACGCCGCGUGAGUGAUGAAGGUCUUCGGAUCGUAAAACUCUGUUAUUAGGGAAGAACAUAUGUGUAAGUAACUGUGCACAUCUUGACGGUACCUAAUCAGAAAGCCACGGCUAACUACGUGCCAGCAGCCGCGGUAAUACGUAGGUGGCAAGCGUUAUCCGGAAUUAUUGGGCGUAAAGCGCGCGUAGGCGGUUUUUUAAGUCUGAUGUGAAAGCCCACGGCUCAACCGUGGAGGG
rnacentral:rRNA from 1 species